rnacentral:rRNA from 1 species
UACGGGAGGCAGCAGUGGGGAAUAUUGCACAAUGGGCGAAAGCCUGAUGCAGCUAUGCCGCGUGUAUGAAGAAGGCCUUAGGGUUGUAAAGUACUUUCAUCGGGGAGGAAAAAACAAAACUAAUAAUUUUAUUUCUUGACGUUACCCGAAAAAGAAGCACCGGCUAACUCCGUGCCAGCAGCCGCGGUAAUACGGAGGGUGCUAGCGUUAAUCAGAAUUACUGGGCGUAAAGAGCACGUAGGUGGUUUUUUUAAGUCAGAUGUGAAAUCCCUGGGCUUAACCUAGGAACUGCAUUUUGAAACUGAAAUACUAGAGUAUCGUAGAGGGAGGUAGAAUUCUAGGUGUAGCGGUGAAAUGCGUAGAUAUCUGGAGGAAUACCUGUGGCGAAAGCGGCCUCCUAAACGAAUACUGACACUGAGGUGCGAAAGCGUGGGGAGCAAACAGGGAUUAGAUACC